rnacentral:rRNA from 1 species
CGAACGCUGGCGGCAGGCUUAACACAUGCAAGUCGAACGAGAAGCCGGGCUUCGGCCCGGUGGACAGUGGCGCACGGGUGAGUAACGCGUGGGAACCUGCCCAUGAGUGGGGAAAAACGGUUGGAAACGACCGCUAAUUCCGCAUACGCCCUACGGGGGAAAGGCUUCGGCCGCUCAUGGAUGGGCCCGCGUCCGAUUAGCUUGUUGGUGAGGUAAUGGCUCACCAAGGCGACGAUCGGUAGCUGGUCUGAGAGGACGAUCAGCCACAUUGGGACUGAGACACGGCCCAGACUCCUACGGGAGGCAGCAGUGGGGAAUAUUGGACAAUGGGCGAAAGCCUGAUCCAGCCAUGCCGCGUGAGUGAUUUGAAGGCCCUAGGGUUGUAAAGCUCUUUCGGCGGGGAAGAUGAUGACGGUACCCGCAGAAGAAGCCCCGGCUAACUCCGUGCCAGCAGCCGCGGUAAUACGGAGGGGGCUAGCGUUGCUCGGAAUCACUGGGCGUAAAGCGAGCGUAGGCGGCCGCGCAAGUCGGGGGGUGAAAGCCCGGGGCUCAACCCCGGAACUGCCCUCGAAACUGCGUGGCUAGAGGCCGGGAAAAGGAGAGUGGAAUUCCCAGUGGAAGAGGUGAAAUUCGCAGAUAUUGGGGAGGAACACCGGUGGCGAAAGCGGCUCUCCUGGAACGGGU